rnacentral:misc_RNA from 1 species
ACUUUCGUUUUAACAGGGAUGAAAAAAUGUAAACAUCAAAACAAGAGUCUGGUUUUCUUAAUAUGAAACAAAAUAUGCAUUCACGGGAUAGAAAAGAACAGAACAGCCCAGAGGCAAGGGCGCUACGGCAAAGGAUUCACUCUCACUUCCAUUAUUUAUAUGACAGUGCAAUUAAUCAUGGACUCAAAUCGUCUGAUUUUGAGAAAAUCAGGGCUGUUGUAGAACUGAGAGAAGACACCGACAAUUUUGAAAUUCCAGAUUACGUAUUUAAAUAUUUUGGAGCUUGGUUAUUUUUGUUUAUUUCUCUCAUCAUUGUCUAUUUAUCUGAGUGGCCUGUUGAAAAUGACACACUUUUUAAAUUCUGGAUGGACUCAAAAGGAGUCGAUUCUAAAAGUCACCGGUGUGCUGUCGAAAUAUUUGACUUUGUGCAGGAGAUGUCUCGACCCCCUGUAAAGUCGUGUGAUUUUUGUCGUAAUGUGAAAUCCGUUAAAAGGGUUGAAAACAUCUCUCCUGAACAGUUUGAGAAGUUGUACGCAUACAGUGGCAGGCCAGUUGUGGUGAAGGAUGGAACCAAAAACUGGACAGCAUCACAACACUUUUCCUACCAGUUUCUGAAGACAGUUUACAGCAAGAACAGCACUGCGUUAAGAAAUGUAGAGGAACACUGUCAGUUUUUCCCAUACAAAUCCAAGUUUAAAAACUUAGAGGAGGUGUUUGAGAUGAGUGAUGACAGAGCAUACAUGAAAGAUAAAUCAUCACCUUGGUACAUAGGAUGGAGUAAUUGUGACCUUUCAGCAGCUAAUACCCUCAGGCAACAUUACAGUCGUCCCUACUUCCUCCCCCAACAAUCCGAGUCCAGCAAAACUGACUGGAUCUUCAUGGGCAGUCCAGGAUAUGGGGCCUCCUUGCAUGUAUGUCGAACAUAGUACAUGUUGCUAUGAUUGACUAUGUGAAUCACCCCUCAUGGCAGGCUCAGAUCACCGGUACCAAACGCUGGACCCUGGAGCCUCCCCCUGAGUGUUACUUCCAGUGCCCAAGGUCAUUCACAGUCACUGUUCAACCAGGGGAAAUAAUUGUUCUGGAUACAAACAUGUGGUACCACUCAACUUUAAAUGUUGGAGAAAACAUCAGUAUCACUAUUGGAUCCGAAUUUGACUAAUAAUAUUCCAAACAUUACCAAAAUAUAAAGAGGAUACUUUUUUGUGUUGAUCUGUUAUAUCAUUUACCCAGUAACUAUUUUUUUUUCUGGAGUUUCAAAGUUUUGUAUAUUUAUAAUUCUAGUUUUGUUACAUGUAUUUCUGAAUUAAUGACUCAAAUUCAUUAAAGGAAAAUACAGUUUUGGAUAUAUUAUACUAUGAAAUCCACUGAUGGCAACACUGUAGUGCUACAAUCAUAGUUAUUUUCAUUAUUUAUAUUAAAUUAAAUGUAUCAUAG